AUGUGCGUGUGUGCUCUCAACAUUUCAUCGAUGGCCGCCCGACAGAGCAAAACCCAACUCCAAAGAUUAACCUUGGUUAUGACACACCUGUGAAGAUGGGACGGAGAACGGUAAAGAGAAAGUUUAAUGAUGUACAGGAUUCAGAUGCAGGAUAUAGCUUUGAAGAUAUAGAUGGAGAUUUAGGAGUU